GAGGGUGCAAGCGUUAUCCGGAUUCACUGGGUUUAAAGGGUGCGUAGGAGGGCAGGUAAGUCAGUGGUGAAAUCCCCGAGCUUAACUUGGGAACUGCCGUUGAUACUAUCUGUCUUGAAUGUUGUGGAGGUGAGCGGAAUAUGUCAUGUAGCGGUGAAAUGCUUAGAUAUGACAUAGAACACCAAUUGCGAAGGCAGCUCGCUACACAAUUAUUGACUCUGAGGCACGAAAGCGUGGGGAUCAAACAGG
rnacentral:rRNA from 1 species